GAGAGAACGUAAUUGUGCCACCGAUUGUCCUCGUAUACCAUAUUUUGGUACUUGUUUGGGUGAGAAACGCUAGAACGUGCAUGCAUCUUGGCAUAAUCGUGAGUUUGAUUGAUUGUCAUGCUUGUCGCGUCGUUUGCUAAAAUAUGAUGCUUUUACCUUAAGGUUCACCUAGAUUUUGUGUUGUUAGUAGUGAGACCUAUACAAUCUGCUAGUCUGACCCUGGUUGAGAAGAUCUUUCUCAGCGGCUUUGGAUCAUGUGAGAACCUUUCCAGUAGAUCUUAGCUUGUCAUUCAAGUCAACCUCUUGAUUCAUGUCUUGGACCAAUUCCAACAAAACCACUAUUACUUUUCAUGGCAAAGCCUUGAAUUUGCCAACAAAGUCUUUCAAUCCAUCGUUCAAUGAUCGGCCUAUCAUUGAUUUCGUAAUCUAUAUUGUUGGCUAUUUUGAUUCUAACACCGGAACUUUGUACAUUCCAUUCUUGCUCAGUAGUUUUGGAUAAAUUAAAAAAAGUUUAUGACAAAAUAACUUUUUGAAUACAGUCAUUGCAACAAUCAUGCAUCACGUCAUUGGUCAGUGCAUGGUGUUGCAUCAUCGUCGAGAAUCCAUAGAUUGACUAACGGGAAUGCGUUCGAGUGUAACAUCGUGGGUUGUCUUGGAUUCCCUCUAACCUAUCUUGACUCUUCUGGCCUGUUGGGUUGCUACUCUUGUUUUCUCUUGUGGUGGUGUUUAGUUGCAUGACCCUGAUGCUGCGACGGAACCUAGGGCCUCAUGUGUGUUGCAGCCACAUGAUGGAGCCACUAGGAGCGCGCUGGUGUCUCGGUAUAUGUGACAUACCUCACCUCAAUCCAUUCUUAUGCAACCCUUACUAGUGUCCUAACUUCUAAUACUUACUCAAGGGUAUGGGGUUAACGCGAGUUUAGUCACGAGGGAACAGUCAUAAGACGCGUGUUGCAUUGUGUGCAUCGCAAACUCACGUGUGUAUGCAUCAUAUUUUAUGCAUCUCAUACAUGCAUACAUCAAGAGCAUCAUCAUUUUUGCAUCAUGGUGUAUGCAUCAUUGGGCCAGCAUCAUGGCAAAUGCAUCGUGUCAUAUGCACCAUUUCAUCCAUCAUUUUAUUGCACUGGCAUUGCAAUCAUCCAUCUCUAGGGUGCAUCAUUAUCAUGGCUAUCGAGCAUUUGCACUCUGAGUUGGAAUAUAUUUUGUCAUUAUUCCUUGAUUGCAUCGGCAUAAAUGGGCAUGUUUUGCAACUAGUAUCGUGCAACUCAUUCAAAUAAUAUAAUUCUGAGCAAGGAUGUUCCGAAAUUUCCAUUUAAACCCAUCUUCCGUGCUAUCCUCACUUGUUCUCCCAAGCCUUGUGCUGAAUCUCACCGACAUCCGCUUUCCUCAUGUGAUGAUUUUAUCAUUGUGAAAACUGACCACUUUGUCUCAUCUGCAUACCUUGUUUGGUUAACUUUUCCUUCGAAUCUGAAAACCUGGCAUGACUUAAUUCUCCAUUCUAGUUGAAGAGCCGUGUAAGAAUCGAGUUUGGUGCUUUCUUAAAAACGAUCAUCGUCAUCAGGAGGCGUCCUUGGCUGCAUGCAAAGAGGAAGUUCCUUUCGCCUUAGUGGCAAAAUCCUAGAUCUGGAAUGCGUUCGUAAUCUUUUGAGUUCCAUAAAUGACCCUGAUCAAGUUUGGAGCUAAAAAAAUCCUAUAUUCAGUGCUAGUUACGGUUAUUGUGCUGCAAAAAUCUAGUAUCUAUGCAUCGUGUAGACCUUUUGUUGACUCGUCAACCCAGUCAAGUUUUCUCAAAUACUCGUCUAUAUCUGUAGUAGACUCAUGUGACUGCUGGUCAAAUUCUACCAAACAAUCAUGGUUCAACCUCUCUAUCGCUUAUUCUAAAGAGGAUCGGGUGCAAGAUUAAUCUCUUUUUAUGUCUUGGCCUUAGAAUCUUUUCCUCGUAAAUCGUGUCUUUACUUUAUCAGCUAGGUCUUUGGAUGGUAUAUCAGUUUGUUUUGUACCCUGCUUGUUUCAUCCCUAAUUUCCUCAUAUCUGUAAAUGUUUAUCGGCCUUAAUCUCAUAUUGGUGCUCCAUCGGACAGAAUCUCAUGUUGCUCGUUAAUCAAGUAAUCUCGUUGAUGGACGCAAUCUGUAUGUGAAGCUUAAACAAGAGUUUUAUUUUCCUGCAGUCUGUGGCAACUAAUCUUUGUUGUUCUCAUGUUAUGCCUCCAUUUUUUUUAUCACUUCUUUGCUACCCCUCAUUCUCAUAAUGCUCAUCCAUGCAUGCUUCAUCUGUGCAACAAGGGAAUUCUCAUCAGUGGUAUCCUCAGUAAUGGUGUAAUGAUUAAGGAGUGAUGGCGCCGCAAUGAAACCAAGAGCCUACUCUGAGAAAUUGACACAUGCUUGUACUGCUCGACACACGCUGGUGUUGAGAUUGCUAAUCAUGAUCCCUUAUACAACUAUGUUGGUGUGCUAUAUCCUCGUGGCCAUUCCCUGCAUCUAUCGUUCGUAGUUCUACCUGGAGGUCUCUAUAUCGGACCGAAGUCUAGUGAGUCUCUCUUCCGAAGUUACGAAGGGGAUGAUCUUUGAAAGAACUACUACUGGACGAAAAUGAUAGAAGACUACAAGAAGUGGUAGAUAAAGGACCUUGUUUGAUCUGCCGAGAUGAUCAAGCAACAGAUGCCAUAACUGUUGGAACGAGAGGGCAUAAAAUCGUGGGAGAUAUCGUGUUUCUUAUGUCUUGCUUCUUAAACUUUUUCUAAGUUCUCAGUCUUUAUCUGCAAAGGAUCAUAUCGUCAACAUCGGUCUUCUCUGAUGUGAUUGUUUCCUGCCACUUUAGGUGGUUGAUCUGUUCCUUUAUCCUUGGAAGUCUUUCGUUCUGAAUCUCGGGACGAGAUUCUUUUAAGGGGGUAGGGUUGUAACACCCCGUGUGUUAUUUACCUUAAUUAGGAUUAAUUGGGAGUUUAACUUGAUCAUUAGUGCUAAUCGGGUACAGUUUAUGGGUCCAGAUAUUUCUUUCCGAAGUCUCCCGAACCGGCCAGCAUGUUCCGUGUUCAAGUCGUCCACGGCGUCGUCUCCUCCUCGCGCAGACGAGAGCCGAGCAGAGCUACUGCUGUGCCGGCCAUCCCCGGUCGCGCCCCCCUCCAGUUCUUUCCGCGGGUGCCUCCCCAACCUCAUCCUCCACCUCCACCGCGCAGCAGCAGGUCCGGCCGUGCUCUACCCCGACCGGAAUCGGCCAUCUGCGGGCCGCUAGAGCUGCUGCUCCGCCCCCAACAUCAAGCUCCUUCCUCCGGCCAUUCCCCGCCGGAUUCGAGGCCUUGCUUCAAGAAUGGAGGCCGGGAGUGCCAUCCCCAGGGAGCUCAGUGAGCACGAGCUCACUGUAAUGGCGACCAGGGACCUCGUGCAGCAAUUAGAGUACGCUAGAUGUACGACGCGUGGAGCUAAAGGAUAAAGUCAGAGCCGAACCCGAAGAUGAUGUUUGGUUGACAUAUCCAGAAGAUGGAUGGAUGGAUCCCGAUGUGCACGACCGAAGGCAGGUGCUCGUCAAGCGAGUGUCAUCUAACCAACACUAACUAAUUCAGUGUUAAUCCCAGGCAAGCCCCGGAGCAUAACCCUUAACUUCAGUAUUCAAUGUUUAUUUAUAUAAUUAUGGUGCAUUUA